GUGGGGAAUCUUCCGCAAUGGACGAAAGUCUGACGGAGCAACGCCGCGUGAGUGAUGAAGGUCUUCGGAUUGUAAAGCUCUGUUAAUCGGGACGAAAGAGCCUAGUGUGAAUAAUGCUAGGAAGUGACGGUACCGGAAUAGAAAGCCACGGCUAACUACGUGCCAGCAGCCGUGGUAAUACGUAGGUGGCAAGCGUUGUCCGGAAUUAUUGGGCGUAAAGCGCGCGCAGGCGGAUCUGCCAGUCUGUCUUAAAAGUUCGGGGCUUAACCCCGUGAUGUGAUGGAAACUACAGAUCUAGAGUAUCGGAGAGGAAAGUGGAAUUCCUAGUGUAGCGGUGAAAUGCGUAGAUAUUAGGAAGAACACCAGUGGCGAAGGCGACUUUCUGGACGAAAACUGACGCUGAGGCGCGAAAGCCAGGGGAGCGAACGGGAUUAGAAACCCUUGUAGUCC
rnacentral:rRNA from 1 species